rnacentral:rRNA from 1 species
UGGGGGAAUAUUGGGCAAUGGGCGCAAGCCUGACCCAGCAACGCCGCGUGAAGGAAGAAGGCUUUCGGGUUGUAAACUUCUUUUCUGAGGGACGAAGAAAGUGACGGUACCUCAGGAAUAAGCCACGGCUAACUACGUGCC